AUCCGGCUGACGCGCCCCAAAUGGGACGAAACGCGCAUCCUGGAU
rnacentral:hammerhead_ribozyme from 1 species